rnacentral:lncRNA from 1 species
CAGGUUUUCUUCAUCACUUCUGCUUCUUCCAUUAACCAUUUUAUAGUGAUUUGCAACAGAACAAAACAAAAACCUCAACAUGAUUCGAUCCAAAAUUGUUUCACAUUCUGAACAUAGUUGAAAUUCAAACAUGGUUCCCUCUAUUUUACCCAGGUAAUCUCCAACAUUCAUCCAAUUACAGAAAUGAAAUAUCCACUGCUGAACUAUAUCAAAACUAAUACUUCAUCUAAAUAGAAAAUUCAGAAAUCAGAAUAAAAUUAUAUGAAAAAAACUACAGCCAACUCAAUAGGUGCAAACUAAAGAAACCAGAUUACUUUGCAGAAGUGGAAUAUUUUUUUGUCAAAUGAGUAUUUCUAUUUACGAACAAAGGUCUUUGUAGAGAGGAUUGAGAGAGUAAC